rnacentral:rRNA from 1 species
UAUCUCUGUAGAGUCUGCAUAUCAAUAAGCGGAGGAAAAGAAACUAACUAGGAUUCCCUCAGUAACGGCGAGUGAAGCGGGAAGAGCUCAAAUUUGAAAUCUUCAAGGUUCUACCUUGACGAAUUGUAGUUUAAAGAAGUGUUUUCUGUUGGAGUUUUGGUAAAAGUUCUUUGGAAUAGGACAUCAUAGAGGGUGAGAAUCCCGUAUUUGACCAUUAUUUCCAGCUUUGUGAUACACUUUCAAAGAGUCGGAUUGUUUGGGAAUGCAGUCCAAAAUGGGUGGUAAAUUUCAUCUAAAGCUAAAUAUUGGCGAGAGACCGAUAGCGAACAAGUACCGUGAGGGAAAGAUGAAAAGAACUUUGAAAAGAGAGUUAAACAGUACGUGAAAUUGUCAAAAGGGAAGCGUUUGACACCAGUGUUGUUUUCUCGAAAAUCAAUUAAAAAAAGUUGGAUUUUGUAUUGUUAAGACCUUAUCAGCUUACUGUACUCUUUUCUUGCUUUUUUUAAUGCACUUUUCGUUUAACAAGUCAACAUCAAUUUCUUUUGUUGUAAAAGAGUCAUUGGAAGGUGGCUUUCACUUCGGUGAAAGUGUUUAUAGCCUUUGGCUUCUGCAAUCGGAGAGAUUGAGGUCUGCAGCGUAGAUCCUUCGGGGCUAGAUACGUAGAUGCUAAGUUAUAGUUUUUUAUAGACAACUUGUUGACUAUAAUUAAUCAUGUAGCUUACUCGUUUGCGCUAUUUUACCUACGCUUAGGAUGUUGACGAUCAGCUGAGCGCG